UCACUUUGUUGACACAGCUCAGCAGACAAUAGAUGGUGUGCCUCUGUGGCUGGAAGGACAAUAGGAUUGCGAGCAACUCUUGGCACCAGAAAUUGCUGGAUUUGAAAAUGCAGUUGGAUCAGACCACUUUGUGGAGUGAGCUCCAUCCCAUGCAGAAUCUAACCAGCCAGGUCCAAAGCAGGCACGUGAGAACCUGAGGAUUCGUCUCGGUCACCAAAAGAGCCCAGCCACAUUCACUGCUGUUCAGCUCCUCCUGUUAGGAAGGUGAGUGACUUGACUUUGGAAUAUUGUAUAAAAAUGUGCAGAUGUGGGAGAUGUACCUGUAAAAGAGACGACCGCUGUAGAAUGGAUUCUUCUGGUGGACUUUGGUCUGCCAUUGCCUUGGCAAUGGCACGAGCCACCGAGGUCGGGUGCACGUUGUGUGUGCUUCUGCACAACUAUUGAGGAAUAAUCUUGAGUCAGAGCAUUCAUCACGCAAUUGGUAAUCUUAAAUAGUCGUUCUUGCUUUUACCUCAAUGUUGGAGCUGUACUUGGAUUGAUCCUUUUUGACCGUAGACUUAAACAUCCUACCAGAGCUUUUGCUCGGCUGCUUAGCGCGUGUUUGAGCACGGUUGUUGGUGGUGAGGUGUAAUGAAGGUGGGGUAGUCUUGGAGCUCACUGGUCUCAGUUCCGAUCCUAUGGCAUCCUUUGCAAGCCAGGGACUCAUCUCCAGAUCCUAUAAGACAAGAAACAAUAGCAUGACAGUUUGCUUUUCCUAUUAGAAACAAUACAAAUUAAAGCAGUCAGAGGCUAACAUACUAUAUAGUGGAGGCAAAGCGGAACAACAAGGCCUCGGAGAUCGUCACUUCACGACAAUCCCGGUAAUGUAAGCGAUGAAAUCUUCACCCAUCCUGAGUGUACAGUUUUUUUCUUAUGAUAGAUGGUGCUAUACUGUAAUGAGCAGUCAAGAAGGAGACCUAGCUGUGUAUCACCUUCAUGCAUGUGUCAGUUCUAUUUCCUGAACUAUGGUCAUUCUCCUCUUUGCCAUCUGUAGUGGGUAAAGUCACAAAAAAGCCAAUUGAAGCAAAAUGCACCUGUUCAUCUUAAGACGCUCACUGACCUAGCGUCUCCCUUGAUAUGGUGAUUUGGAUUUUUGAGUGUGUGAAAUCUUUUAAUAUUUACCGCCAUCAUGCUGAGGUCAGAGUCACUGUAGCUGCGUUUGUCCCAAAGCAAGUCCCUGUUUCUCUCUGAGAAUCCUAGCUGCCCAUCCCAGGAGGACACAGAGCCCACCCGUGCGAUGUUGUGAUCUUGGCGCAGCAAGGGCAGGAACUGUUUGGACACCAGGGUCUCCCUCACCACUCUGGUCAAAAUCCUCAGUUCUGAUCUCUUCUCCAGUUCAGCGUGUAUCUCCGGAGCUGCAGGUAGUCCCAUCGACAAACAGGAGAUGUGCAUGCACAAAAGGUACACCACCUGAUGAGAUGGCAAGAGGGGGAUCAGUGAUGCUGCACUGUUAGUGACACAGAUAACGAUCAAGUCCACACCUUGGGUAUGUAUCUGAGCGUGCGAGCCUCUUGGCCGUGCAGCAGGAGCGCUUGGCGGUUGAGGUAGUGCUGCAGGGUGACGGGGGAUCCGUGUCGCAGGCUGAGGUCUGGGUACUGAACCAGCUGCGCGCUGAGGAGCCGAGCAAAGUCGAACACUUGGCUGAUCUGCGCUCGGGUUUGGAUGGAGCGAGGCCUCUUGAUGCGCACAUAAUGGACGGCCUCGCUGGGACUGAUGCGCAAAGUGUAGAUUAAGUAGCAGGCUAUCAGGACACCUGUGGAGCAGUCAUAGUACAAAGUUGUGCGUUGCGUGCCGUCACGCUUGCUGGGUUACUUCUGAUGGAACCCAAACCUGUUCUGCCCAGGCCUGCGUGGCAGUGCACAGCAACCCUGCCUUCCCCCACCGCGAAGCCCAGCACCUUUACCCCAUCUAUUAUGUUGACCAGGGAAGACACGCAGAAGUCUGGCAUCCCAAAGUUGUAGAAGUAAACUGCAAAAUGAACACACGUGCUAAAAAAUCCUUUGGAUGGACUAGUGAAGAGAAUUAUUGGCCUCAACACCCGGUAAUUGAUGAGAUCCAAUUCAGCAGCAGUACAAAAAUCACUCCGAGAACUACAAAUGGAUGAAAUGUUGCUGUUCCCUUGGAACUGUAAGAGUCUGCACUUCUGGGAAGACUUUUCUAAGACGUGGCUCUAGGGAAAUCUUGUCCCACAAAGAAGUACAAAACUGUUGCAAAUUCCCGUGAGUAUAUAAGGUGUUAAGAAUGCUAGUCUGUCUUAAUGUCUCAGCCCUGUGACAGGCAAUCUAUUGUGGCCGUGCCACGUUCCCUGGCUCUAAAUCAGUGGUACUUAACCUGGGUUCGGUGAGUCGGUCUCAGGGGUUCAGCAGAGCCUCCAAAGCGGAGGUCCGAACACACCUGAUUCAUCGUGUAAAUUCGUUAACAGCAGAACUCACACUGAUUUGCAGGUAUGUAAUUUGUUGCGAGUUCAUGCAUUGUGUUGGUUUUGUUCUUUGAACAAGGUGAUGUUUGUGCACGGCUCAUUUUGUGCACCAGUAAAAAACAUCUAUGCCUUGAAUUUGAAAAAAAUAAUCAUUAAAGAGGGGUUCGGUGAAUGCGCAUAUUAAACUGGUGGUGUUCCGUACCUUCAACAAGGUUAAGAACCACUGCUCUAUAUCAUCUGGAAUAGGCUCCAGCUCACCCUCCACUCUCAACAGGGUAAGCAGUGUAGAAAAUGGAUGGAUGGACAUAUUGGCUAUCGUUGGUUGUUUACACAAGAGUAUCGAGACAUAGCUAACAUACAACACUGAAAUUGACUAUUUGGUGGUAUACUCUACUAUACAGUAUCUCACUGUCAUUCUCCAUGAAGGUCUGGGGUGAGUAUGUGAAGCCACUUUUGGGGUCCAGGGGGGGUCCACAGUGAGCAUGCUCUCCUGGCAUUUGCAUGUUUAUGAUGGAUCUAAUGUUUAAUCUAGGGAAUAAGUCAUAUAUGAGAAGAACACAAUGCCACCACCCACAACUGUUGUGGACUUCAGACUUAAAUUCAAGACAAUACCGUUGGAAUUGCUCAAUGAUGUCAUACUUGUCAAUCAAGAGUUUGGAUGGUCGUGCCAUGGCAAUGAUGUCAUCAGUCACCCUGGAAUUUCAGGAAAGAGUGCAUUGUAAAUAAUCAAGCACCCCAGGGUCCUCAUUAGUCAGGAGACAAUGAAAUAGUCCUACCAUGAUGAGAAAACGCCUCGGAUGACCUGCUGGUUUGCUUUCCAACACUCUGGUCCCUCAUAACGGCAGUCCACGCCCCCGCAGGCCAGCAGACACAGAAGCUUGGGCGGGAUCACCCUUACCAGGUUCUCCCGGGCUUGGGAGUAAGCAGGUCGCGGAACUGGAACAUGGGUCUGCAUCCUACACCGGGGAGGAGGUGUAGCACCCCCACCCAAUAUCAGACUGUACUACACAACUGUCUGGUUUGUCAACUUAACUCAGAACUUACCUUUGCAAACGUGUUGGACGGAGGUACGAUAAUUCCCAUUAACUGUAGUUUGUACAAUUAAUUGUAGUUUGUACAAAAGCACACCAUGUAAAGGUGCAAAAAGGUGAAACAGAACACUUGUUGUUCAACACCGACCCAUUUGACUGCUUGCUGACAGGCACAGACCUGAUCCAUCAUUGCUAAGCCAGAUUAGCUGUCAUAAAUGCAUUACGCCAAUUAAAUAGUGCUUGUACAUUCACAUGCAAACACUGUGUAUCUCAAUUGACCCCAAAAAGCCUCAUGCAUUGUUAGUUUUUGUGAUAAGACUCAAACGGCACACAUUAAAUGAUAGUUAUGGUUCUACUUAAAUUCUAAUAGGUCUAUUAUUUUGUUAAUACAGUACUAGAAACUCCUCAGUGAGAUGCAUUGCAGUUAGAUGCAAACUAACCUAUUUGUAAUCGGGCAAAUAAUAAAUUAACUUCAUCUUCAAUUGGCUCUCAGAAAAGAUGUUUAUUUCUUAGACAAGAAUUAGGUAACAAGAGAAUUAAAACAUAUCGCACUAAAUAUUAAGUAUUUGCUAGCAAACAUUACAAGCAAAAGAAAUAUCAACAAUUAUUGUCAUGCAGAUCGUUUUUGCAAUGAGAAGACAAUGAAUCCUUUUAUGUAUUUAAACAGUUGUUAGAUCUAACAAUCUUGCUAGCCUUGACAAAAUGUUACGAGCAAACUUUUGGUUAGGAAAACAGGGCACCCAGAAAAACAGUACAAAGAAGUCUUUUGUAUUUUUAAAGUCACAACAACAUCUUCGGUAGGUGAUAAGCAUAAAGCAUGAAAAAAAGGCACAAUGUUCCUUUUUGGAUCCAUUCAGUGGGAGGCAAUGCUGUGGAAGAACACUUCAAAAACAAAUCCUGGUCAGUAGCCACUGAUCAGAAUGUAAGAAACGCUAACCUAAUAUCAGACUGGAAUUACUCAAGUGGUCAAAUUGCAUCAUUUUCAUGAUGACACUCACAGAUUGCUGGUCAGACAAUAGAAUGAAACUUGGACAAAUCGACAACACCUUAACCGCCCCUGUCAUAAAACAUUU